rnacentral:lncRNA from 1 species
GACACGCACUUCCGGCAGCGCCGCGGCCGGGAGGGACCGAGCGGGGAGCAAGGCCUGCGGGGAGGCGCAGGAUGGACGCGUUGGCUGUCAUGAUGUAGGACCUCCUGACCUAGAACCAUGCCCGGCGCAGGGAGAACAACGAGCUUACGGACCGGGUGCGGGGGCUGCUGUGCGAGAAAGCCUACCUGCUGGCCCGGGAGCGUUCGCCGGCCCACCUGGUGGCUUUCCCUGGACGUUUAACGGCGACUCCGCCCGGCCUCCCGACUUUUUGAUGCAGGCGUUCUCUUACAUGACUUUCUUCGAGGCUAGAUUCUCGAAAGACAUCCUGAAGGUGGCUUUCUUAAUUAGCUGCCUCACCGGCUGGCGGAGCAGUUCGUAGUCGCCUACAUCGAGAGGGAGAGCCCCGUCCUGGCUCAGUACUGGGGCUUCGUGGACGCGCUGUAGCGGGUCUUCGCCGUCGUGGGUAGGAAACAGUCGGGCCGGAUCCCCGGUGUCUGGGGAGCGGCUGCCGGCCGGGCCCGCGCGAGCCGCUUCACUCCUACAAGCCCGGCUCACUAGUUCCAAGCUGCUGGACUUUGACCCUCGCUGGGAAGCUUGAUCGCCGCCUGUUCUCGCCAAUCUCUAUGCCUUUGCACUGCCCAGCAACCCGGUCACUGCCCAGGACCUGUUAAAAGUUGAAUGGACCUCCCAGAAUCACGCCGCUGCCACCGCCGUUUCUAGAGACGGCUUUUGGCCACCUUUGAGAAUCAGGGUCAAACUUGGAAGGGCCUGCAUUUGUCACACUUCCUCGGACACUAAUUUGGAUAGUUCAGGCCCAGAGACGGCUUCCCGGGUUAGUGUGCCUGACAACACUGAAGAAAAAUUGUGACAUUUUCCUUCCCCAGAAUUACUUCGUUUUAUACAUUUCACUUCUCUUCUGAAAUCACAGCAAUGCCAGUUUGCGCCUUUUGGUCUGAGGAACGCAGGCCCUGGCCACUACCAGGAAAAAAUCCUUUGCACAUGGCCUGCUAUCAACAAUCCUCUACAAUGAUUCUCAGCAUCACCUAGGGAGCUUAUGUAAAAUCUCAAAUUCCUGGGCCCUAUCCCCAGAGUUUCUUAUCAAUUUCCUUGAUGGAGAACUAUCAAAGCAGUCAAAGCUAUCAAAAUAAAAAAGAAUUCUGAUUGGGUGCAGUGGCUCACACCUGUCAUUCCAGCACUUUGAGAGGCCAAGGUGGGCAGAUCACAUGAGGCCAGGAGUUCAAGACCAGCCUGGCCAACAUGGCAGAAACCCCAUCUCUACUAAAAAUACCAAAAUUAGCCGGGCAUGGUGGAACACACCUGCAAUCCCAGCUACUCGGGAGGCUGAGGCAAGAGAAUCGCUUGAACCUGGGAGGCAGAAGUUGCAGUGAAACAAGUUGGUGCCAAUGCAUUCCAGCCUGGAUGAUGGAGCGAGACUCUGUCUCAAGAAAAAAAAAACAAAAACAAAAACAGAACUCUGCCUCAUAGCGUCUUUUAAGUUAUACACUGGACCUAUCCUUUCCUCACUGACAGACAUUUUAAAAAUUUUUUGGUAAGGCCUAGUUCAUAUAAAAUGUAAUCCAAGCCAAAAGUUAACAAGAAUAAGGGGAGGAAAGGGGACUCCAAUAGCAGAGAAAGGUAUUUACCUGGGAUAUACACUGCAAGAAAAUCAAAGCUAUAAGAAACGUCCAUGAAUAGUAGCCAUAAGGCAUCAGAGUGAUAAAAUUCCUGUCCCUAGGAGGGAAUAUUGGAGUUUGCCAGAGAAACAGAAUGAGAGAGACAGAGAGGUUUAUUGUAGGAAUUGGCUCAUAUGAUUACGGAGGCUGAGAAGACCCACGAUCUGCCAUCUGCAAGCUGGAGAAUCAGGAAAGCUGGAGGUGUAAUUCAGUCAAGUCCAAUGGCCAGAGAAGCAAGUGUACUGAUAUCCAAGAGCAGGAGAAAAUAGAUGUCCCAGAACAAGCAGAGAGGCUGAUUUUGUCCUUCCUCUGCCUUUUUGUUUCAUAUGGGGCACUGAAUGGACUGAUGCCCAUCCACAUUAGUGAGGGUGGAUCUUCUUUACUCAGUCUACCAGUAGAAAUGUCAAUGACUUCCAGAAACACCCUCACCAACACACGUGGAAAUAAUGUUUUACCAGGUAUCUGGGCAUCCCUUGGUUCACUCAAGUUGACACAAAAUUAACCAUCACAGAAGGAGACUGGCCUUACUCUGAAAUUAGGAAACUAAAGAAGUGACCAGAAUGGAGACUAGGUAGAGACAACUAGUUCUCUACCAAACAUGUACAGUUAUUCGUUGGUAUCUGAAGGGGAUUGGUUCCAGGAACUCUCAGGGAUACCAAAAUCUGCAGGUGCUCAAGUCAUUUAUAUAAAAUAUUACAGUAUUUGCAUAUAACCUUUGCACAUCUUCCAUAUACUUUAAAUCAUCUCUACAUUACUUAUAAUAAUGAAUGUGUAAAUGCUAUGAAAAUAGUUACUACACUAUUGUUUAUUUGUAUUUUUAUUGAAUUGUUUUGGGGUGGGGGGCAGCUGUAUCUUUCUUAGUAAUAGAACCCCUGGUUUUAGCUGGGCACAUGACUGCCCUCAAUAAAGAUUAAAGUACCCCAGCCUUCCUUGAGAUUGUGGCCAUGUGACUGAACUUUAGACAGUGAGAUAUAAGCAGAUAUCUUCUGUGGCAGUGUUAGGAAACUAUUAAAGACAGUAAGAACAUUGCCCUUUGCCUUCUUUUUCCUUUCUUCAUUUUUCUGCCUGGAAUGCAAAUGUGAUGGCUAACACCCUAGCAGCCAUUUUAGAUUAUGAAGAUGAGAGUCACUCCCCAGGAAGGGUGGACCUGAAAGCUGGAUUCUAGAUGUGGAAUGACAAUACCAGCCCUGGACUACCUACCUGUAGGCUGUGUGUGUGUGUGUGUGAUUGACAGAGAGAGAGAGAGAUAGAUACCACAAGUAACACAAAGCAUCAUACCUGGGACUGGGAAGGUUAAUGUUUAAACAUUUUAAAUGUGGCAUUGGUUUGUUGAAGACAGUCAAGCAGUAGGUGCUGCAGGCUUUGUUGAGGCUAGAAAGCUGUUGGUCUUUAUUAGGUGAUGGCAAAACAAUGGAUCACAUUUUCAUGUGCUGUGUCUUGGGAGGCAAAUGAUGAGAAUGUAGGAUUGGGGAAAAUGGUAAGGAAAAUCCAAAAUGUUCAUGUUUUCUAACCCCUUCUUGCCAAUCUUAAAAGAAGGACAAACAGGCUAGAUUAAGCAAGUCUACAGUUACAAUUGGAAGGAAACACAGCCGUACUAAGGAAGUACUCUGUCUGUGGCCUGCAGUCUAGUUUGACUAGGUCCUGUAUUUGAGCUUUGAAAGAGUAAAGAAUACAAGUGCUCGUAUACCCCUGAAGUAGUUACCAGCAGUGACUGCAAGGAGGUAAUCUUAUGGGAUGAAACUAUAACUCUGUAUUAACCAUCAUAUAUAGCAUAUAUGUGUAUAUGUAUGUGUGUGUGUGUAUAUGUGUAUAUAAAUAUAUGUGUGUGUAUAUACACACAUGUACACACCCUACAACCCAGUGAUUUCAAAAAAUUAAACAUUUGUUUAGCUCAUGAAUCUGUGGGUUGGGUGAACAUUUCUAUUGGUCUUGGCUGGGCUCACCUGUACCCAGUCAGCUGCAGGGUCUAGCUCUUCUUAUCUUGGCUGGGAUCUCACACAUGUCUAGGAUCAGCUGCUUUACUAGUCUAGGAUUGUCUUGGCUGAGACAGGUGGACUACUCAGUUCUCCUCCACUGCCUUAUCCUUCAGCUGGCCAGCCCAGAAAUGUUGCCAUGUUUACAGCAUAAGAGCAAGCAAGAAAGAAUAAUAUGCAACCACUUUUCCAAGCCUAAGGUGAAAGGGCGGGCAGAACCUGUGGUGUUAGGAGGCAACUCAUACCAGCCCAUGGGUCUACCGUUUAAUUUUCAGAAAUUUGGCAAGCUGAUUGUUAACACAGCUGUUGUUUAAUUUAUGUACUUGUAAUUAAAUAAUUUACAUUAAAACAAAGAUAAUAGGUACUCAAAA